UACGAAGGGGGCUAGCGUUGCUCGGAAUCACUGGGCGUAAAGCGCACGUAGGCGGAUUGCUAAGUCAGGGGUGAAAUCCUGGAGCUCAACUCCAGAACUGCCUUUGAUACUGGUGAUCUUGAGUCCGGGAGAGGUGAGUGGAACUGCGAGUGUAGAGGUGAAAUUCGUAGAUAUUCGCAAGAACACCAGUGGCGAAGGCGGCUCACUGGCCCGGUACUGACGCUGAGGUGCGAAAGCG
rnacentral:rRNA from 1 species